rnacentral:rRNA from 1 species
AGUCGAGCGAGCGGAACUAACAGAUUUACUUCGGUAAUGACGUUAGGAAAGCGAGCGGCGGAUGGGUGAGUAACACGUGGGGAACCUGCCCCAUAGUCUGGGAUACCACUUGGAAACAGGUGCUAAUACCGGAUAAGAAAGCAGAUCGCAUGAUCAGCUUUUAAAAGGCGGCGUAGCUGUCGCUAUGGGAUGGCCCCGCGGUGCAUUAGCUAGUUGGUAAGGUAAAGGCUUACCAAGGCGAUGAUGCAUAGCCGAGUUGAGAGACUGAUCGGCCACAUUGGGACUGAGACACGGCCCAAACUCCUACGGGAGGCAGCAGUAGGGAAUCUUCCACAAUGGACGCAAGUCUGAUGGAGCAACGCCGCGUGAGUGAAGAAGGUUUUCGGAUCGUAAAGCUCUGUUGUUGGUGAAGAAGGAUAGAGGUAGUAACUGGCCUUUAUUUGACGGUAAUCAACCAGAAAGUCACGGCUAACUACGUGCCAGCAGCCGCGGUAAUACGUAGGUGGCAAGCGUUGUCCGAAUUUAUUGGGCGUAAAGCGAGCGCAGGCGGAAGAAUAAGUCUGAUGUGAAAGCCCUCGGCUUAACCGAGGAACUGCAUCGGAAACUGUUUUUCUUGAGUGCAGAAGAGGAGAGUGGAACUCCAUGUGUAGCGGUGGAAUGCGUAGAUAUAUGGAAGAACACCAGUGGCGAAGGCGGCUCUCUGGUCUGCAACUGACGCUGAGGCUCGAAAGCAUGGGUAGCGAACAGGAUUAGAUACCCUGGUAGUCCAUGCCGUAAACGAUGAGUGCUAAGUGUUGGGAGGUUUCCGCCUCUCAGUGCUGCAG